GCCUAAUACUACAUUGUUUUGUUGUGUAAAGAAGAGAUUAAAAAGAUUAUAUAAGAGUAUUAAAUUACCCAGCGGUUUCAAAUACCUGACCAAAAUCCUUUAAGUGUCAUCAAAGACAAGGAGAGACUGCAGAACUGCUGACAUGCAGGAGACUUAAGAGAUGUGUCACUAAAUGCAUUGUGAGGUUCUGGGACAAACAAAGAAUGUUAAUGGAAACACCAGGGAAAUUGAAGUAAAGUCAGUAGUUUAGUUAGUACCAUCCCAGGAUUAUUUAAGAUGUUAUACAAGAUGUUACCAGACUGAGUGUGGGAUAUACAGGAAUUCCCUGUUCAAUAUUUUCAGCUCCUCUGUGAGUCCAAAACUAUUUCAGAAUCAAAAGUAAAAACAAAUGACCAAGUUUCUGGUAGUUCUUGAGUAUCAGAAGCAAAUUUGUGAGUGGCAACUGCUGAAGAAUGGUUAGUGUGGUGGAAUGUAUAUUUGUAACACAGCAUGUUUGAUGUCUGCUGUGACAGUCACACCAUGUGGGUCUCCUGUCUAAUUCCCUGGCAGGGUGUGCUGGGUGCACCGUGUCACCGGUAUGUGGGUGUACCCUUUCCUGGAACACAUUGGGUCAGGAGCCAGGAUCAUCUUCUUCGGAUCAACAACCAUCUUAAUGAACUUUCUGUACCUGCUGGGAGAAGUUCUGAACAGCUAUAUCUGGGAUACACAGAGAACUACAAAUUGAAGCAGUUGAGCCAUUUUCCUUCUGAAGGUAUGGAAGAAGAGAAAGAGAGACCUAAAUUGGAAUGAGAUCCAAGUCUCAAAGGAAGAGCAAGACAGAACAGCCACUGAAUUCUGUUACCCCUAGGGCUUUGGCAGUGCAGGAGAGAAAACUUCAAAGGAAGCAGUGGCAUCAACCAAAACUCCAUGACCCUGAGAAAGGACACCUUUUAUGUAUGAUAUGUAUAAAAGUGGAAUACGCUGGUCUCCAAAAUAACUCAUCCAUUGUGUUUUAAAGUAUUCUUUCCAAAUCCGUUACUGAUAACAUCUUCUCUUUUCCUUUUCUAGUUUUAAAACUAAAAUUGGUCAUUGGAUUUUCAUUUCUGCCAUUAUAACUCCAUUAAAUUAAGGAAGAAUAAAAUUCUAUUGUGCUUCUUCUUGAGAAAUGUA
rnacentral:lncRNA from 1 species